rnacentral:rRNA from 1 species
AUGGCCAUGGAGGAGGCCAUUGGUUCACUUAAGGCGCAUGAGGAGCUCGUCAAGGGGCGGGAGACGGCACGUGAAGAAGAGCAACUCCUCAUGGCGAGAGGGCAUGACUCAUCGCGAGGACGCGGCCAUGGUGGCCGUGGCCAUGGCCGCCGACAUGGCCGUGGUGGAGGGCGCAGAGACAAGAGUGAGGUACAAUGCUAUAACUGUGAUGACUUUGGGCAUUUUGCCUGGGAGUGUCCGGAGAAGAAGAAGGACAACGAGGAGAAGGCACUGCUCGGUGUCGAGGAUGAGCCAGCUCUUCUCUGA